ACGGGAUCCGGGCGGUCAGUUGGUAGUUUCCAUCACCAUCCCUUUCUAUUAUUAAGGAUGGACAUGGCCCGAGGUUGUAUACUAUUUCAUCUUCCAUCGGUCUGGUUUACUAACAGUUGAUUCCAUCUCAGGGGGGCGAUACAGAGAGAGGUCUCGUGGUCAGAGAGAGACCCACCUCAGGAUAUCAGUCUUAUACUGAUAUUAG